GGCCGCGUAACCAUUCCCCGCCCUGCGGCCCCGCACCCCAGACCCUCAGCAGCGGCUCCGCCCCUGCCCUGCCCCCCGAUGCCAUUGGUCAAGUCUCGCCUGCCCAUGUCCUGACGGGCGGCGGAGGGCCGAGUGGACAAGGCCACACCCCUCGGGCUCCACGAUGGCCAAUGAACCGACGCUCUGGAGCCACUGUAGACCUCCCCAUGCGAUCUGGCAGCAACUCGGACGUGGGGUGGCUUGAGAAUGUAAGAAGAAUCACAUUUUAUUCCAAAGGUCCCAACCCAGGCCUCCGUGCCAAACUGCGUACGUAUCCAAGUAUAUAUAUGCAUGCGUGUAUUCAAAUGUAUUUUAACAUAAACACACAAUAAACACGGUGCCUUCCUGUAA